rnacentral:rRNA from 1 species
UACGGAGGAUCCGAGCGUUAUCCGGAUUUAUUGGGUUUAAAGGGUGCGCAGGCGGAAGAUUAAGUCGGUGGUGAAAUUUUGCAGCUCAACUGUAAAAGUGCCAUUGAUACUGGUUUUCUUGAGUGUGGAUGAAGUAGGCGGAAUUUGUGGUGUAGCGGUGAAAUGCAUAGAUAUCACGAGGAACUCCGAUUGCGCAGGCAGCUUACUAAACUACUACUGACGCUCAUGCACGAAGGCGUGGGGAUCAAACAGGAUUAGA